AGAGUUUGAUCAUGGCUCAGAUUGAACGCUGGCGGCAUGCUUUACACAUGCAAGUCGAACGCGAAAGCGGGGCAACCCGCAAGUAGAGUGGCGAACGGGUGAGUAAUACAUCGGAACGCGCCCUUUAGUGGGGGACAACGCCGAGAAAUCGGCGCUAAUACCGCAUACGCCCGAAAGGGGAAAGCGGGGGACCGCAAGGCCUCGCGCUGUUGGAGCGGCCGAUGUCCGAUUAGCUAGUUGGUGGGGUAAAGGCUCACCAAGGCGACGAUCGGUAGCUGGUCUGAGAGGAUGAUCAGCCACACUGGGACUGAGACACGGCCCAGACUCCUACGGGAGGCAGCAGUGGGGAAUUUUGGACAAUGGGGGCAACCCUGAUCCAGCCAUGCCGCGUGAGUGAAGAAGGCCUUCGGGUUGUAAAGCUCUUUCGGCCGGAACGAAAUCGCGCGGGCGAACAAUCCGCGUGGAUGACGGUACCGGAAUAAGAAGCACCGGCUAACUACGUGCCAGCAGCCGCGGUAAUACGUAGGGUGCAAGCGUUAAUCGGAAUUACUGGGCGUAAAGCGUGCGCAGGCGGUCGCGUAAGCCAGAUGUGAAAGCCCCGGGCUUAACCUGGGAAUUGCAUUUGGUACUGCGUGGCUAGAGUGCGGCAGAGGGAGGUGGAAUUCCUGGUGUAGCAGUGAAAUGCGUAGAUAUCAGGAGGAACACCGAUGGCGAAGGCAGCCUCCUGGGCCAGCACUGACGCUCAUGCACGAAAGCGUGGGGAGCAAACAGGAUUAGAUACCCUAGUAGUCC
rnacentral:rRNA from 1 species